AACGAACGCUGGCGGCAGGCUUAACACAUGCAAGUCGAGCGCCCCGCAAGGGGAGCGGCAGACGGGUGAGUAACGCGUGGGAAUCUACCCAUCUCUACGGAAUAACGCAUGGAAACGUGUGCUAAUACCGUAUACGUCCUUCGGGAGAAAGAUUUAUCGGAGAUGGAUGAGCCCGCGUUGGAUUAGCUAGUUGGUGGGGUAAAGGCCUACCAAGGCGACGAUCCAUAGCUGGUCUGAGAGGAUGAUCAGCCACACUGGGACCGAGACACGGCCCAGACUCCUACGGGAGGCAGCAGUGGGGAAUAUUGGACAAUGGGCGCAAGCCUGAUCCAGUCAUGCCGCGUGAGAGAUGAAGGCCCUAGGGUUGUAAAGCUCUUUCACCGGUGAAGAUAAUGACGGUAACCGGAGAAGAAGCCCCGGCUAACUUCGUGCCAGCAGCCGCCGCGGUAA
rnacentral:rRNA from 1 species